rnacentral:misc_RNA from 1 species
UAGAGUUAAUAACUCAUAACCCCUGUGAACUUUACCUUUAUUUCGUUGCUUCGGCGGUUCCUGACGGCCCAUCCCGCCAGGGGGGGCACGCUAACUGAGCCGCCGGAGGUUACAAACUCUGAAUUUUUAGUGUAUCUCUGAGCCUAAAAACAAAUAAUCA